rnacentral:tRNA from 1 species
GGGCCCGUAGCUCAGUAGGUUAGAGCAGUGGCCUUUUAAGCCACGUGUCGUGGGUUCGAAUCCCACCGGGCCCUCCA